AUCGCUUCUCGGCCUUUUGGCUAAGAUCAAGUGUAGUAUCUGUUCUUAUCAGACAAUAAGGCAGGAAGAGAAAAUUAAUCUUACAUUUAAUAUUACUUGCAGUAAUAACUAUGCAGCUACAGUAAUUCAGCCAACAGUAAUUAUUAGGCAGGUUCGGUGUCAACACACAAUCUAACUCAACAACCAUAUGAAU